UAUAUUUUUCCAAGUAUAUACCGCCCUUACUGUUUUAAAAAACAUACGUUGUUGAUUCCUUUUUUAUUUUUUCCUACACCCUGCUGUGGGAUUCUUAAUAGCCUUACCUGCAUAUGAACAAACUGCAAGAGACAGAUACAGUUCCUGACCUAUGAAAGGCUGUUUCAUGACUUAUCCAUCUCACAUGACCACCUUCUAUAUCUACAGGUAUUUAUCAGUUCUUUCUACUUACAUGGCGGAUAUAUCUACAAGUAAACCUACAGGUUCUUUGUAGUUCAAAUGCAGUAUCCUAUAUCAUUUUUAUUAUUAUGCAGAACUGUUUGUUCAGUCACAUAUGCCCUUUACUAGAGAGAGCGAAAACGGAAAACUAUUGUGGAGCAAAUUAGAUGGGCGAACCAAUAGAUAAUUAUGUAGCCGUUCUUGGGUGUCAAUGGAUCACAGUUUACUAAUCAUAUCGAGAAAAUAAAUAUAACUACUUGAGAAUAAAGGGAAAAUGAGAAUAAAGGAUGGUUGUGGUAGUAGAAUGGUAGUUUUGCUUAGGCGCAAUCAUACUUAUGGAGUAGUAAAUAACCUGUCAUGUCAUUCUUCAAGUCUGCACAUAGCAUUGUUAUUGUAGGAGCAGAUUUCUCAUCCUUAAGGAACCUGAACUUGCUUAAUAGCCAAUUUAGUGGUGUAAUACUAGUUUCUUGAUGUCAACUCUAAUGCUUCUGUUUACAUUCCUUGAUGUCAUUUCUGUUUUGCAAUCAUAUGACAUUGUCUCAUGUAAAUGAGUAUGGGCUGCUGUCAAUUUUUUAAUCUACAAUUCAUCUAGUGGUUUUUUACAUGGUAGCUUAAUAUCCUCCUUUUCUAAUAUGCAAACUUCUAAUAUGUGAGGUGAAUAAGUGCAUGAGGUGCGGUUCGCCUUAGGCUGCUCCUGCUCGUCGGCUGUCUGGUCCAGCGUCACUUAACCGUUGUGACCUGGCUGGUUUGGUUCAGCUUCGAGCUGCCUACCGCGGAGUGGGAGGCCGACACGCUCAUGAACAUCGAGGCCAGAUCAAGUACGCUGGUGCACUGCGGCAUGCGGCGGCCUAUUUUGUUGUAGUGGUGUUGUAUAUGGUCUCAUCGAGCACUGAGUAUCCAUAUGUUGUUCUAAUCCUGAUGAUGAUGUUGUAGCGUGGACACCAUAUUCAGUUUGUCUUGAUGCUUUAUCUCUUGUGAUUCUUGUCUGAUGCACAUUGUUCCUUGCAGGGUUAUGAUGAUAUUUCCAAGGAAAUAUACUGACCCAGAUGUGACGAAGGUGCCCAUUUUCCCUUUCUUAAACAUUUCUACUCUGGUUUUUUUCUUCCUGUAGUUCCAGUUUCACAUUGUUAGUGUUUCAUGCCAUACUCAUCAGAUCCUGCUCACAUUCCUUGUGAUUGAGUAGCUUGAUUAGUAUUUCCGCCACUGUCCUAUCUUAGUAAACUGUUUGUUUUUUCAGUAGCUAAAAAGGAAAGUAAAUCUACUAUAUCCUGGUAUUCUAGAAUUUCAGUGUCUCACAGAAGUUACUCUUUGUCCUGCUUUAGUUUGCAAACCUGAUGCUCUAUGUCUGUUCUCAUUUCUUAAGUUUGAAAUGUUUCAAACUUAAGAGUGCCCCCAUCCUUGUUAUUACAUAAUACUAAUCUGUGCAUUUGUCCUUAUAAUUUCAGGGAAGGCCAAAGAAAGAAAACACAAAAACAGUAGCAUGCAACUGCCAAGCCUUGAUCAGACUACACCGUACAACAGAAAAUGGAUGGUAUAUACACGAUUUCAGAACUGAACACAACCACCAUUUUGUCAUCGUCGUGUGGCGAGAAACUACAUUGGCCAUCACACAGGAUCAUUGACACACCAAAUAUAUAGUGAAAUGAUGUGCUCUAUGUUCAUUCUACUGUGUUAUUGAGAUCCUGUGGUGUAAUUAUACUGCUGUGUUAUUUUGAGAAUUAUAUUAUUAUUACCAUUAUAUUCUCCUGUGCUUUUGGUUGACUAACAAAUUGUCCAAUCAAAUGUGGAUCUCCCUUGAAUAAGGGUUGGACUG
rnacentral:lncRNA from 1 species